rnacentral:ncRNA from 1 species
UGUUCACUUUAGGGGUGUUCCGGCUAAAAACCGGAACUGAGAUGAUACCCUCAGUACCUGAUGCAGUUCACACUGACGUAGGGAAAAGUAUACUGAACCUU